rnacentral:rRNA from 1 species
UGGGGAAUAUUGGGCAAUGGGGGAAACCCUGACCCAGCAACGCCGCGUGAAGGAAGAAGGUCUUCGAAUCGUAAACUUCUAUCCUUGGUGAAGAUAAUGACGGUAGCCGAGAAGGAAGCCCCGGCUAACUACGUGCCAGCAGCCGCGGUAAUACGUAGGGGGCAAGCGUUGUCCGGAAUGAUUGGGCGUAAAGGGCGCGUAGGCGGCCUGGUAAGUCUGGAGUGAAAGUCCUGCUUUUAAGGUGGGAAUUGCUUUGGAUACUGCUGGGCUUGAGUGCAGGAGAGGUAAGUGGAAUUCCCGGUGUAGCGGUGAAAUGCGUAGAGAUCGGGAGGAACACCAGUGGCGAAGGCGACUUACUGGACUGUAACUGACGCUGAGGCGCGAAAGUGUGGGGAGCAAACAG